rnacentral:tRNA from 1 species
GCGUCCGUAGCUCAGUUGGUUAGAGCACUACCUUGACAUGGUAGGGGUCGGUGAUUCGAGUUCACUCGGACGCACCA